GCAGCUGUUUAGGUUCUUCAGACAACUCCAUAGUUAAGUUUUACACUUUAUAGUUUGAAGAGCGGUAGAGCAGCCAAACCUUCGAAACAUAAUGGCGGAGCUUUGGAAGGUACCGUGGGUUUGCCCCUAUCGGUACAGUGUGCGGCGUUACCUUUACAAGACGAGCUCUGUCUGCACUUCAUGAAGGAAGCUGAGACUCCACAAGUUGCACCAAAUGAAGAAAUAAAUAUCUGAAGCCGCUCCUUGCAGUAAAUGGGUUUAUGUUAAAUAUUAUUAUAUCACUAUAAAUCUAUACUCAGUAAGCAAAAUCUCACUAGUUUUCCAAUAGAAAGAACAUUACAUUGCA